UCACACCCACAGAGCUGGGUAUCAGAACAAAGGGAAGGUUCUGGUUGGACACAUGUGGCUGAGGUGUCUGGUCUUCAGAAAUGGGGGGCGGGGUGCGGGCACAGGAGGGCACAGAAGCAAGACAGAGCAAUUGGCAGCUCAGCUUGAAAGAAAAGGGAGCCUGGGAGAACAAAUGCCAUAGGCUGUGGACACAGCUGCCCAUCUUAUGGAACAGGAAGUCACAGCUGCAGGGUGGAGGGAGACGGUGGGAAGGAUUGGUCCUUAAGUACUCUUUCAUACAAAAUGUAACCAACAGCAUCUGUUGAAAGCCUCAAUUACAGGCAACAGAAUUUUAUUUAUUUAUAUUAUUUAAAAGCAGAACAAAAAAUAAUUGAGCUAUUUUGAAACCUUGUUCUUUUAAAAAUAGGUUUCAAAUUGGAUUUGCCUGUAUUUUACCCAGAGUUUUUCUAUUGUUUCUAAACAAUUUUUUUUUUUUAAGGUACAAAUAUGGGCUCCUUAACUGAAAAGUCCAGUUGUAAGGCCACCUGUGUUUACAGAGGGAGUGACCUUCGGUUUCCUCUUUCCGGGCUGGUCUUGUCUGAUUCGCCAGGGUUAAAAAGGCCUUGCAGAAUCACUCAUGGAAAUUUUCUUUGUUUUGAUUUCCCCCGAGAUAGUUUUUGUCAGAUGCAGAUUAGGUAUCCCUGAGGUUCUAUCAAAUAAACUUCAAAAAAUAUCAGAGUGAAUUUCUCCUUCGGUUGAUUGGCUUCUGCAUAUGUUGGAAUGAGCAUUUCUUUUUUUUUUUUUUUUUUUUUUUUUUUAACGAGACUAUUGCUGAGCUGGCCAAAAAAAAAAAAAAAAAGACAAGGAAACGCAGGAAUUCAGUAACAGCAAGAGGUCAGAGAAGCUUGAGCUCAUCUCAGAGGGACACUGCAGGAGGAUUUCCCCCUCAGUGCUGAGUCUGAAGCUCCAGUCUCUCUACCUUGUAUUGAGUGGAAGGAGGGGAAAAGAUGUCUUUGAAAACGAAACCAGUUUGUACUUGGAGGAGAGGUGAACGUGUUUUUAGUCUGUCCGUGUUCCAUAAACUGUUCUAAUCAGCCCUUCUUCUUAGACUAGCAGACAAGGACACGCAAGCUGUGCAAACGCUGCCCCCAGACACAGGCUCUGGGGUGAGAGAUAACUACCAGCAAGUCUUCCUGAAUCCUGGGAGCCCUAAGGCUGAAAAUAACUACAGAGAGAAAUUCCACGGGAAAUAGCAGGCGUGGGUGAACUAGAUAGCUUGGGAUGGACUUGGGAUGGGCGAUGGGAAUAAAAACACAGCUUCGCCACCGGGGGCUUUCUGCCCUGUGUAGCCACUGCUCUGGUUAGAGUCUGGAUGAAAAGCCCUGCUUUCUGGCCUCCAGAGUGCGAUUUUCUUUUGGCUCAGGCAAGGGGAUCACUUCUCAGCUGGGCCCGGGGCUCCCUACCUUCACCGGCAGGGGCCCUGCACCAUGUGCCCUGGCCAGCGGGAGGUGGCUGGAAGGGUUUCUCGUGCUUUGAGGGACUUCUCAGGCAUUUCCCUUUCCCUGAGCCGCAUGUCUAAGGUCCUCUCUAGUGCGGACUUUGCCUGGUUCGGAAGUUCUUGGAAGGAAAGUGAGGCACGGAAGGAGGCUGCAGCUGUCUCCAGCCAUGGAGGGGAGGGCGCUGCAGAGAGGAUGGCUGCAGGCAAGAGGACCCCAGCCCCUCAGAGAGCUCGGCCCUCAAUGCUCCUGCAUCGACCCUCAGGCAUGAUGCCAUCCUGAGUGACAGAGGGAUGGGAAGAUGAAGAGAAUCCCUGUCUUCAUUCCGAAGAAACAUGGAGUGUUUUGUGUGCUCCAAGAGGGGACACUUGGAGUUGCUGGGCCCCUGGGCUGUUGUUCUGAUUUGGCCACUAUAAAUUGUGAUGCCAGAAACCAGCCAGCUGCUGUGUGAGCUGCUCCUCUGUCUCCACCUCUUCAGCCACCCCAGCACUUCUGAAAUGGGAUUCGGACCCUUCUAGGAUUGAUUUCUACAGCCAGAGAAUCCAGAGUGGCUUUCCUGGUACGCAGAGGAAGAAGUGAACUGGAAAAGGUUUUAAAAUGUUGUAACACAGUUGAAGAAUGACUGCAGGGGUUAUUUGCCUGAUUUGCCCAACUAUAUCUAAGUGGGAGGAAACAAGGGAGGCUUUGAACUUCUGCUCAGGGCUGGGUCAUAGCUCUGUCAAUGGUGGCAGUGCCCUUUCCCGGCCUGUGCGAGGCUGUGGGUUCUAGCCCCAAGUCUCACCGGUUAGACAGAGCUGUGCCCUGUGUGCCAGUCGAGAGGCGGGGGUGCUUUGCCCACCCCAGACUCAGUAGCUGCCCGCACUGUUGCUGUCCCUGUCAAAAGGGGGGGCCUGGCUACAGGGGUCCCUGGGGAGUGACCCUAAAGGCUGCUCCCCUCUCUGACUCCUGGCUGCAUGGGCUGGGCACCCUUCCUCCACCAGGCCUGCCCAGGCCUGCCCCCUGCUGUGACUUUCUGCCCCAAGCACCCACCAGGGACUGAAACCCAGAGCUUAAAUACACCUCGCCUCCUUUCACUUGGGGGUCUCUGCUAUGGGAGAUGGACCAGGACACAGCAGUGCAAACUAACUAACUAAAGGAAGUAAUAGAAUCUAGUGCAAAUUUUGGAGAAAACAAGACAUCAUAAUAGCUAGUGCUGAUUUAGUAUCAUCUUGCUUUGAAGUCCCAUCAAGCUUUUAUUCUUCUGUCUCCAUUGGUCUUAACAGGUUGUAUCUUAUUGGAUUUUAUUAUAUGUGAUAAUAUAAGCAAAAAGUUUUAUAGAUGAGAUUAUACAGAAACCAUUGUUCAUUUUCUGAUAGUUGGUUCUAGAUACCCUGUAAUACUGUCAUUCUCUUGAAUGGUUUUACAUUGUCUUGAUAUGUUUGGUGCUACAGUAUACGAAGUUAUACUCAAAGAUUUCAAGGAAAGAGACACUAUGGUAACUACUUUCAUGUCAGAAUAUCUUGUGGUGAAACACUAUUUUGCUUAAAUGGUUAUGCUUUGACCUGCACUGUUUUGUUAUUAUGCCCUCUUUUAUCUCAAUCUCCUUUUUUAAAAAUUAUUUACUUUUUAUUUUUAUCUUUUUUAAUUAAGGGAAAAAUAAAAAAAAGCAGGAUACAUUAUAGUAACCCACUUUGAUUUCCUAUUAACUUGAUUUGAAACCCUGUAUAGCCUUUACCAUCUUGCUUUGACUGAUUUUCCUCUAUUCUGCUUUGCUUGAUAGUACCAAGUUUGAAAGUAUAGGCAACAACUGUGAAGACAAUAAGAUUCACUAUGAUGCCCAUUCCGGUUGAGUAUUAUCUUCUUUUAAAGUCCUGUAAUGUCUCCAAUGUUUUGGUUUUAUUCUUUACUGUUUUGUUCAAUUUUAUUAUAACUGACAAUAUAGGCACUCUUUAAGAUAGCAAGAGGCAGUAUGGUAACCAUUGUUGAUCACCUGGUAUUUUGUUUUUACAUUAUCUAUUAUGUCCAUCCUUUUGAUUUGACUGACUCUGUUCUGUUAUGGCACAUUUGGUUUUACUUUCUUCAAAAAAAGCAAUAAGAACUGUGGGAGUAAUAAAACCCAAAAUGUGUAAUUGUCAUUGUACAAAAGAAAGGAAAAGAAAGUGCUCUAAAGAAUAUAACUGCAUAUAUAUUUAAGUGUAUAAGGUAGAUAACUAUAUUACUGAGUUUUGUUGGAUCAUUGAACAAAACUGUUUCCAGUCUCAGUGUUUGAAAGUCUACUCUAUAUGCUUUAAUUUUGUAACUUGAACAACUAUUUCUAAGAUAACAAUAUGCAAUCUAUUAACUAGUGAUUUCCUACUGUUUGUUUUCUGAAAUUCUGUUAUAACUUGUACCCUUUUCCUAUUUUCUUUUUCUCCUUAAAUUAAAAAAAAAAAAAAGAAUCUAGUGCAAAGCCAUUGUGCGUGUUUAAAGCAAAGAGGCAAAGCCUCACUCCACUUUCUUCUGAGCUUUCUCAACAUGAGGGAUUAAUGCAAAACCUGAUGGAAUUUAGAGAUGGGGCUAUAUUUUCCCUCCAGUGAUUUGAGUUGAGCCUUCUCACCUAAGAUUUUUUAAAAACUGAAAUUAAUUUGAUCCCAGAAGGGUUGAGCAGGGCUGAAAACCUUUGUACAAUUCUCUGCCUUCUUCAUUAAGGCUUGAUUUGUAUUCCCCAGAGUGGUGGAAGUGUAUUUCCCUCUGUGCUGUCUAUACUCGAAGGACUCGCCAAACAAAGUAGCGGUGGCAAAAGGGAAAAGGAAGAAUUUCUCUCUCUCUCUCUCUCUCUCUCUCUCUCUCUCUCUCUCUCUCUCUCUCUCUUCUCUCUCUCUCUCUCUUUCUCUCUCUCUGUCUUGAUUUCUCUGUCUCUAUGUCUGUCUCUGUCUCUCUCAUUGUGUUCUUAUGAAGUUUUACUAUCAGGGUAAUUCUGGAUUUAUAGACUGAAUUUGGAAGCCACGCUAGUGUUAAUUCAUUUAAGGUUUGACAAAAUUCAGCAGCAAAUCCAUCGGGUCCUGACCUCUUUUUAUUUAGGAGAGUUUUACUACUAUUUCAGUCUCACUGCUUGUUAUAGACAUGUUUACAUUUUUUAAAUACUUUCUUUGUUAGGGGUCGGGGAUUUAGCUCAGUGGUGUAAGUGCCUGCCUGGCAAGUGUGAGGUUGUGAAUUCAAUCUCUGGUACAAAAAAAAAAAUUUUUUUUUCUUUGUUCAAGUUUGUUAGGUUCUGUAUGUCUAGAAAUUUAUCCAUUGCUUCUACAGUCUCAAAUUUACUGAAGUAUAAGGAUUUUUAAAUUUUAUUUUUGGCUUUUUUUUUUUUUGAGAUGGUAUCACCACAUAGUUCAGGCUGGCCUUGAACUCACCAUGGAUUCCAAACUGUCCUCAAACUUGCAGUGAUCCUCUUGGCUCAGCCUCCUGAGUGCUGAAGUGUACAAGAGAUUGAACCCUGGGAGAGCGGAGCUACAGCCUCAGCCUUUUUAUUUUAUUUUUUAAUAUUCUGAGACAGACUGACUUCAGAUUUGUCAUUCUCCUGCAUCUGCCUCCUGAGUAGCUAGGAUUACAGUGAGCCACUGUGCCUGGCUGCAUUUAAUCCAUCCUUGAGCUGGAAAUAAACUUUGUAAUGAAGUUUUCUAAAUGUAUUAAAGGUGGUACAAACAA